rnacentral:lncRNA from 1 species
GGUUUCUGGAUUAAUCUCCAAUAGCAAACGAUGUUCAAGUGAGGGAAACAAGGAGUUCGAAGCUCCAACUAAUUAACAAGGGUUGAUGAACUCUUCCCAUGAUCAAUCGGUAUAAGGGAGUUUGAUUUCUCUUUCUCAUCGCUUCCAAUAUCGAAAUAUCUCGAAUAUCAUUAUAUUCAAGAUAAACAUAAACCAUACCAAACGACCUCGAUAUGCAAUGCCUCCAUAGCAAUGAGCAAGACUAUAUGCUAAAUUUUAGAGCAGUCCAUAACAUUUCAUACUAGAAGCACACUUUAGAUCCACUGCUUACUAUUUUAGUAUCCCUGUGCUGCAUUUUACAGGAUUGCAAACAAAUUUUGGACUGGACGCAUAUAUAUGUUUGUUCUUACCGUUACUUUUUGCAGGUUAUCGUGUAAACUAAAAGUACAACAGAAACACUGAUGAACAAGAUAGGUAAGCAUUUUCAAGUACAGCCUGCAAAACGAGGCUAAAAGCUCAAUUGAGGAAUCUGUCUUGAAUGAGUAAAGUCCAAAUCAUACCCAAAACAAAUAACAAGAAGAUGCAGAGUUGUUUGAGAACCUGAUUAUUGUGAGAGGAAUGACCGUGUUCGAGAAGCGGCGCUUGUUCCUCCGCUGAAACCAUGGAUUUGUUCCUCGGAGCCUUGUUUCUCCGAUGGAAGAGGAGGAAGGAGACGUGAUAACGCCGGGAGAAAAAGGAGAGCUAGUUGAUAGAAACAGGGGAAAUGAGGUGAGGAAUCUUCAGAUGGCGUGUCGUCGUUGUAAAAAGGAGUAUCAGCCAUAAACAACUACCUCAUUUUAUCCGGGAGCAGUUUAAAAUCCAAACAAAUAAGUUUCAGGA